CACUGGGCAGCUGUACAAGUAUCUGCCAUCUGCAGCUGCACCCUGCAGACCCAAAACACCCUGUCUAGCGAGGUGGGUAACAAGUCCUCUGAGCCCGGGAGUGAAACUGAACUGAAAAAACGCAAUGGAGCCAAAGACGGCUGCAAAACAACUCCUGCUGUCCUGCCUUGGUUUGCCCGUUUGCUGGGGACAGAAAUCUUCGUUCUCAUUGAUUAAAGUACCUUGAAACAGCCCACUUGUCUACCUCAGAGGAAUCCUUGGUUCACAGUACCCACAAUACCCUAUUAAAAAUGUAGAGCUGCUGAAACAUGUACUGGUCAUCCAUAGCUUUCUGUGUCCUGUAACAUACCUCCUGCUGUGAUAACUGAGCACCUGUCAAGAUACUAUAUGGCUAGCCAUGGAAAUGGAAGUCCUCUUGAAUUUAUCAACAGACAAGCUUACAUUGCUGUCUGGCAAGUUUCUCCACUUUUGUGACUCAACCUUGACCUCUAAGGAUCUACUUCUCAGGGUGAGAAAGCAGCACAUUCUCCUGGCAGAUUUAAUCACGGUCUCCUCUGCUGCGGGCUCUGACUCACAAGAUGGUAGAGAUAUCUUUAGCCCAAACAAAAUCACCUGAAAGCAGUCUCUGCUACGAGACACAAACCAUACACUCGUGCCAUAAGUUGCCUUUGGUAUCCCAGGUUCCCAAACAACAUCCACAGUGAAGUGGAAAACUGCCCACCACCUGAGGCCACCAGUUGAUCACCAACACUGAGAGGUCACCUUUCAGACACUAAGACUCUGCACCAUAUUUAAACAGCUGGCCAAAGUGCAAGAUACUCUUUAUAGACCUGCUGUCCUUUGAGCUUCAUAAGGAUGCUUACAGCCUUGCAAAAAAAGCCAUGUUACCGAGACAUCAGGUGGUAUUAGACUGCAAUGAGAAACCACCAGAGGCAUUCCUUUUUCCCAGAAUGUGUCCCAGAGCUGGAGCCAAUUCCAUUGCAUUUCUCUACCUGCUGAUCACAAUUAAGCCAUUGUCAGCUGGGGCCUGGUGAGCUGCUGAAGAGCUAAGAAGAAGCGGAGACCAGCAUGAGGCCUCAGCAGCACAUAUGCUGUGAAUAAACAAGAAAUGCAGCACUAUGUUCCUGAGGUGGCUGCACUGCAAAAUAAGGUUCUAGUGUUCCCCCUGUGUGUGUCAAAGUCAGCUUUUGGAGGCCCAGCUUGCUCCUCACACUCUUACACAUUGCCAUCACAUUUGCCAGAAGGGAAACACAGGGAAAUAAAGGUUACUGUAGGUAAAAAUAAAUCCAACCAUGGUCUUGUUAGGAAAUCUUCCCAGUCACCCCUAUCCUCAGGCAGCAUCAGUAAUCACAACAGAGAAGUUACCUCUGGUUAUGGUGGUUGCCAUAGGAGGACAUACCAGGUGAGCUCUGCAGGUGGGCAGAGCUGCUCCCAUCACCUGCUGACUGCUGAGGUCCUACCAAACCUGCUGUGAGCUCAGAGGCAUACACAUGGGCUCUGAAGCACAGUUCACAGUAGCCUUUACCUCAUUCUUCACCUAUUUGUAAAAGAAGUCUACUGAGAUGCUGACUUACCUGCUGGGG